CUGCCCUUGGCCCUGUGAAUGAUUCCUCCCCCAUGCUUCUGCUUCCAUGCUGAAGUAGAUCACUGCAGUCCCAUGGUCGUCUCCAGUCUGCAGUAGAUCCGGGUCUUCUCUUCCCUCCCACACCUUUAGCACUUUAGAGGAAGUUCUGGCCUGGGGUCCCAUGGAAUUCCAUCCCAGAUGAGCAUGCUUGGCAGUUUCUCAGAUUGAGUUGCAGCGUCAUCGGGUUUGGGGCGAGCAAAGCAGGCGCGAGGCCUCCCCCUAUUUCACACCCAGAGCACGUGGAACGCUCAACUGACUUUCCGGUGGUCUCCGCCGCCACCUCUUAGUUCAAUGUUUCUGCUGGCAGGUCCCAGACUGUUCAAUGCCUCUCUCUGAACUGGGAAUGAAGAGUUGAGGACCACUGGAUGCUGUGAAGCACCUUUUAGAAGGCUAAGCCUCAGAAGAACAAGAUCGGAAAGCAAAACAGUGAGUUUUGUUCUACUGUAGGCUCUGGCCAUAAUGUAUCACUUUGGGCCUCAGGCAAUGGAAGGAGUGGAGUGUGGCCUGAAGCUUCCAAAAUUGUGAUCCCAACGUAACCUUCUCUGCCAAGAAGCUGCGCUUGGGCAUUUGUGAGUGAUGGUAGGCGAACUGACAUGCUUGUCUCCUGGGAGGAAGGCCCAUAAAGUGAUUCCCUAGGGCCAGAGACAUCCUAGCCUCAAACACUACUGAGAAAUGCUAAGACGCCUGAAGCCCACAGCAGACCUCCCAGAAAGGAAAGUUUGUGAAGCGCCAUUCAAACAUGAGCCCUACAGGUCCUCCUGCCACCCGCCUCUUUCCCACUUUCAUCUCAUCUGGGAAGGAUCAACUGCAGGAGGUGGAUGAGAAAGGAAGCAGCAAGGUCUGCUCAAGUCCAGCUCACCUGACAUACCCUGCUGUCCAACCCCACGUGUGCUGCUGUGGAUGCUGGGAGCAGCUGCAGCGUCACAGAGGAAAUCCCCUUUGACUUGGGAUCCAGUGAGACAUCACCUGAUUACAUAGGCUCCAUAAUACUCCCUCAGGACAGGAGAACCAGAGAUGAGAUGUCAGGAGGAGAUCCCCUGAGAAGCUGUCACUGGACCCUAUCAUCAGUGAGCACUGGCCGCAGCCAGGCGGCCCCCAACAGCCUCCGACACCACCAGACGAAGGGGCUGAAAGGAGGUGGGGGUGCAGAUUGUUCGCUUGUUUCCCACUCUAUGUUGUUGCCUCUCUAUCUCAGAGGAAAACAGCACAUUUCCCAGGGGUGAAAACAGGCCCAGCUCUGUGGUCGUCAAACCACCAGGGCUGGGGGGUGGCCUGGUAUGGGGAACCCCAAGAGUGACAGGAAGGAGCCAGGCCGGAAUUCCAGGAGCCUGUCUGCUCAAACACCUGUUGGCAUCCAGACAACCCUGGGAGCCAGGCACAAGCUCGCCUUCCUCUCCUCUAGCUGCUGGAUCUGAGCUAAUAGCACCUUCACUCUUUAGUUCAACAUGAAGCCAGUACUGUCCUCUGGGGGAUGUGAUCCACAUGGCUUCCACCUUAUGAAGCUUCAUCCCUCCAGUCUCUGUAAGAUAUUGGGAUGGAACGCCCACAGUGAGAGAACUGAGUGUCCCACUGGACUCAGGGGCUUCACCAGUUCGCCCCUCCCUCAUCCUCACCAACUUUAUCACUGACCAGCGCAGAGACUGUGCCUCCUUCCUGCAAGCACCAAAGGUGCUGGUCCCUAGCCCCAGGAUUCCAGAAACUGGCGGAAUUUUUCCUGUCCCGUGGAGGGAUAUCUUGACUUAUAUUUUGACUAUACGUUUGAGAUUUUUCUGCUACACUGAGGCAAGCUUAGGGACCAGGCAUAGGAGGAUGUCUUGAGGACUGUGUGACUGCAAAUAUCAGCUACAUGGACCCCUGCUGGCUUCUCCAGAACACUGUGGAAGGGUUUGAGAAUAUGUCCCCAGCUGAUCCCUGCAAAGUCGAUGCAGAGCUGCAGCUGCGCCUACCCCUGGACAACAUGGCUGGGGGGAAGGGCAGUGUCUCUCUACUUCGUCCCAGGUCACUGCUGAUGUGAAGAUGAGGGACUUGGGAAUAUCCACUUGGACAAUCUCUCCUUGGCCUUAAAGGGCUGGUCUGCCCUGAAAGAGUCACAGCUCAGAGAGGCUGCUCUUGAGAUCACAAGUUCUAACGAAACAUAGAGAACUCCAUAGCUGUCACAUGCUUCUGCGUGGCUACCUGGAUGGCUUAGAAGACACUGUAAUUGAACCCCAAGGGCUCUCGUGUCUGUGACUGAAAAGACAAAUCAUGCAGAUGAUGCAUAAAGAGAUGAGAAAGAUUUAAUACCCUCAGCAGGUAAGGAAUCAAUUGAGCCGCUAUCCCCUCGGAGGGAAGCGUGGGCGUAUUUCACUCAGGGACCUUAAAUACAUUCCUGGAUGAGUAGCCAUUCAUAAGCAUGCUUGGCCAAGGAGCUUAUGGCCAUGCACAGUUUAAGGUAACGGAGCACACGUUUAGAUUUAAGUGAUGUCGAGAAAGAGUCUCCCACAAAAGUGCUCACCUUGCUUUGUGGCCAACAGCACCGCUGUGGGCACUUGGCGUUGUGGGCACAGGACUCUCAUGGAGUCCGAACCCCUGGUGAGCUUUGUCCACGUGACGCACUGAAGUCAGAAGCAGAAGGCUGCUUAGGCAUGUCAAGAAGAUGGCGGAAGGAUGUUUUGAAUUUCAGUUUGUGCCCGUCCCUUCUCCCCUCAGACUUGGUCUCCUCGUUUCUUCUGUGUUGUUCUGUCAGGGAUAAAGACAGUUCUGAAACCUCAUUUUUGAUGGCUGCUGUUAACCUAAACAACUCUCAUCCCCCAAGAAGAGGGCCUGACCUCAGGGAUGGUGCUGCUCAUGGCUCCUUCGUCUUCAGAGACGCAGCAGGGACGCUGCUACUGUGUGACAGUGCAUGGCUGUUUCCAUGUGCUGCUUCGCCUUUGUCUGCAAGGAUCUGUCUCCCCACUUGCAGAGCACAGAGGUGUCCAGGUGGCACUAACUGUCCCCACCCCUUCUCCAGGCUCCUUUCUGCUGUUCCAGGACAGCCUGCCCUGUGCUGGUAUAUGUUCUGUCAGGCUUCAAGCUCCUUCCCACCCUGGGCUGCCCACAAACACAGUGGAAAACACAGCUCAGCCUUGUAAGCCUUUUAAGAGCCAGACCCUCUCCAUUUGCUGAGUAAACUUGCCCAGGGUUAAAAUACCCCUUGCCCUAGGAAUAAAGACAACAUAAAGUGAAAA
rnacentral:sRNA from 1 species